rnacentral:rRNA from 1 species
CCCUUAGAUGUUCUGGGCUGCACGCGCGCUACACUGAUGCGCUCAACGAGUUUACGACCUUGCCCGGAAGGGUUGGGUAAUCUUUUUAAAACGCAUCGUGAUGGGGAUAGAUUAUUGCAAUUAUUAAUCUUUAACGAGGAAUUCCUAGUAAGCGCGAGUCAUCAGCUCGUGCUGAUUACGUCCCUGCCCUUUGUACACACCGCCCGUCGCUCCUACCGUUUGAGUGAUCCGGUGAAUAAUUCGGACUGCAGCAGUGUUCAGUUCCUGAACGUUGCAGCGGAAAGUUUAGUGAACCUUAUCACUUAGAGGAAGGAGAAGUCGUAACA